AGGUGAACCUGCGGAAGGAUCAUUACCGAGUUCAUGCCCUUCGGGGUAGAUCUCCCACCCUUUGUAUACUAUACCUUUGUUGCUUUGGCGGGCCGCCUAGCUACUGGCUUCGGCUGGUAAGUGCCCGCCAGAGAACCCAAAACCCUGAAUUAUUAGUGUCGUCUGAGUAAAAUAUUUAAUAUUUAAAACUUUCAACAACGGAUCUCUUGGCUCU
rnacentral:misc_RNA from 1 species